UGGGGAAUAUUGGGCAAUGGAGGAAACUCUGACCCAGCAACGCCGCGUGGAGGAAGAAGGUUUUCGGAUCGUAAACUCCUGUCCUUGGAGACGAGUAGAAGACGGUAUCCAAGGAGGAAGCCCCGGCUAACUACGUGCCAGCAGCCGCGGUAAUACGUAGGGGGCAAGCGUUGUCCGGAAUAAUUGGGCGUAAAGGGCGUGUAGGCGGCUCGGUAAGUCUGGAGUGAAAGUCCUGCUUUUAAGGUGGGAAUUGCUUUGGAUACUGUCGGGCUUGAGUGCAGGAGAGGUUAGUGGAAUUCCCAGUGUAGCGGUGAAAUGCGUAGAGAUUGGGAGGAACACCAGUGGCGAAGGCGACUAACUGGACUGUAACUGACGCUGAGGCGCGAAAGUGUGGGGAGCAAACAGGAUUAGAUACCCUGGUAGUCCACACUGUAAACGAUGAAUGCUAGGUGUAGGGGGUAUCGACCCCUUCUGUGCCGCAGUCAACACAAUAAGCAUUCCGCCUGGGGAGUACGGCCGCAAGGUUGAAACUCAAAGGAAUUGACGGGGGCCCGCACAAGCAGCGGAGCAUGUGGUUUAAUUCGACGCAACGCGAAGAACCUUACCAGGUCUUGACAUCCACUUAAACUUACAGAGAUGUAAGGUGUGCUUGCACAAAGUGAGACAGGUGGUGCAUGGUUGUCGUCAGCUCGUGUCGUGAGAUGUUGGGUUAAGUCCCGCAACGAGCGCAACCCUUAUCUUCAGUUACUAACGCGUGAAGGCGAGGACUCUGAAGAGACUGCCGGGGACAACUCGGAGGAAGGUGGGGACGACGUCAAAUCAUCAUGCCCCUUAUGACCUGGGCUACACACGUGCUACAAUGGCCACGACAGAGAGAAGCGAAAUCGUAAGGUAGAGCGGAACUCAAAAAAGUGGUCCCAGUUCGGAUUGUGGGCUGCAACCCGCCCACAUGAAGUCGGAGUUGCUAGUAAUCGCAGAUCAGCAUGCCGCGGUGAAUACGUUCCC
rnacentral:rRNA from 1 species